UAUUAUACUAAUUAGUAAAAGGAAACCUAAAUUAUUAAUAGAUAUAUUCUUUAAACUUGAAGAAUUUGGCGGUGAUUUAAUCUUAUUAGAGGAACCUGUUUUUGAAUCGAUACACCACGUAAAAUCUUACUCAUUUUAUUUAGUUUGUAUACCGUCAUUAUCAGAUGAUUUUAAAAGAAAUUAAUCAUUAAGGGUUAUUAAAUUAUAAUAAGCUAAAUUAGAUCAAGGUGUAGCUUAUAAAUGAGUUAGAAUGGGUUACAAUAAAUAUUUAUUUAUACGGAUUAGAUGAGGAGAAAGUCUUCUAGGAAGGAGGAUUUAAUUGUAAUAAGGGUUUAAUAAGCUCGAAAGAUAUAAGCUCUAGAUCAU
rnacentral:rRNA from 1 species